rnacentral:tRNA from 1 species
GCCGAGCGAUCGGCACCGUGGAGCUUCGGCUCAUCCAUCGAAGAUCAUUAGGAUAUCAGGGCUCAGUCAGAGCCCAUUGGCGGGACAGAUGCCGCCCUCGUUUCUCUUCCUCACCAGAUAGCGCGAUCGCGGAUCACUCCGCUCGAUCGUACUGGGCCUGUAGCUCAGGUGGUUAGAGCGCACCCCUGAUAAGGGUGAGGUCGGACGUUCGAGUCGUCCCAGGCCCACCAUGGACGGGAGGCUCUGCCUGCGGCUUGACCCUUUGGGGCCAUAGCUCAGCUGGGAGAGCGCGUGCUUUGCAAGCAUGAGGUCGUCGGUUCGAUCCCGUCUGGCUCCACCACUUUUUUGGGACCUGGCGCCGCUGCUGCGGCGACGUUCUGAACGAGGUGUCGAGCCCGCUAUCUGGAACAUGAGUUUGCCGCAGCAAUGAUCAGCGAGGACCGUCAGGUUCGGCUGGACGUGCUGUCAGGCGAAGACAUCAGUGACAUCGUGAAGAGGGAAUGUGGCCGUUGGGGCAGCGAAAGCUGUGAACCCUGGCGGUCAUGUUCGGCAAGCAUACGGUGAUCGGAUCGGAAACGAUCUGAUCACUGGUCUUUUUGUGACCGUGUCGCGCUGAUCAGCCAGCCUUACGGCUGUCGGAUCAGCGACGGACAUCGAUCACGAGAGCGAUCAAGUGCCUUAAGAGCAUUCGGUGGAUGCCUUGGCGCUGAGAGGCGAUGAAGGACGUGGUACGCUGCGAUAAGCCUUGGGGAGCUGCGAACGAGCUUUGAUCCAGGGAUUUCCGAAUGGGGAAACCCACCUUCGACCUUCCGUAUUGUGGGACCAGGCGCGAGCCUGGUUCCUCAAUACGGUUGGUCACAUGAAGGUAUCAAAUCCUGAAUCCAUAGGGGUUUGAAGCGAACCCGGGGAACUGAAACAUCUCAGUACCCGGAGGAAAGGACAUCAACGAGACUCCGUCAGUAGUGGCGAGCGAACGCGGAUCAGGCCAGUGCCUGUUGUGAGAUUACCGGAACGGUCUGGAAAGGCCGGCGUGAAGGGUGACAGCCCCGUACGGGACGGUUGAUCGACAGGACUCGAGUAGGGCGGGACACGUGAAAUCCUGUCUGAACAUGGGGGGACCACCCUCCAAGCCUAAGUACUCCUCAGCGACCGAUAGCGAACCAGUACCGUGAGGGAAAGGUGAAAAGCACCCCGACGAGGGGAGUGAAACAGCACCUGAAACCGGAUGCUUACAAACAGUGGGAGCCCAAGGUUCGUCCUGGGUGACCGCGUACCUUUUGUAUAAUGGGUCAGCGACUUAAAGUUACGAGCGAGCUUAAGCCGAUAGGUGGAGGCGCAGCGAAAGCGAGUCUGAACAGGGCGUUCAGUUCGUGGCUUUAGACCCGAAACCGAGUGAUCUAGCCAUGUGCAGGAUGAAGGUGGGGUAACACCCACUGGAGGUCCGAACCAGUGCCCGUUGAAAAGGUCUUGGAUGACGUGUGGCUAGGGGUGAAAGGCCAAUCAAACUCGGAAAUAGCUGGUUCUCCGCGAAAGCUAUUUAGGUAGCGCCUCGAGUGAAUACCUCACGGGGUAGAGCACUGGAUGGGCUAGGGCCGCCCACAGCGGUACCAAACCCAACCAAACUCCGAAUACGUGAGAGUACUGCUCGGGAGACACACGGCGGGUGCUAACGUCCGUCGUGGAGAGGGAAACAACCCUGACCGACAGCUAAGGCCCCCAAUUCGUGGCUAAGUGGGAAAGGAUGUGGGACUCCCAAAACAACCAGGAGGUUGGCUUAGAAGCAGCCAUCCUUUAAAGAAAGCGUAACAGCUCACUGGUCUAAAUAAGGGGUCCUGCGCCGAAAAUGUAACGGGGCUCAAGCCACGAGCCGAAGCUUCGGAUUCACCGCAAGGUGAGUGGUAGCGGAGCGUUCCCUAGGCCUGCGAAGCGGUACCCGUGAGGGGCCGUGGAGGUAUGGGAAGUGCGAAUGCUGACAUGAGUAACGACAAAGAGUGUGAAAGACACUCUCGCCGAAAGUCCAAGGGUUCCUGCGUAAAGUUAAUCUGCGCAGGGUUAGCCGGCCCCUAAGGCGAGGCCGAAAGGCGUAGUCGAUGGGAACGGGGCGAACAUUCCCCGGCCAGCGGAUGGUGACGGAUGCCGUGUAUCGUUUGACCUUAUCGGAUUGGUCAGGCGGUGAAGGGGUCCCAGGAAAUAGCCUCCGCGUAAGACCGUACCCGAAACCGACACAGGUGGACUGGUAGAGUAUACCAAGGCGCUUGAGAGAACGAUGCUGAAGGAACUCGGCAAUUUGCCUCCGUAACUUCGGGAUAAGGAGGCCUCUGUCUUGGGCAACCAGGGCAGAGGGGCACAGACCAGGGGGUGGCGACUGUUUAUCUAAAACACAGGGCUCUGCGAAGUCUGUAAGACGACGUAUAGGGCCUGACGCCUGCCCGGUGCCGGAAGGUUAAGAGGAGAGGUGAGAGCUUUGAAUCGAAGCCCCGGUAAACGGCGGCCGUAACUAUAACGGUCCUAAGGUAGCGAAAUUCCUUGUCGGGUAAGUUCCGACCUGCACGAAUGGCGUAACGAUCUCCCCGCUGUCUCCAGCAUCGGCUCAGUGAAAUUGAAUUCCCCGUGAAGAUGCGGGGUUCCUGCGGUCAGACGGAAAGACCCCGUGCACCUUUACUGUAGCUUUGCGCUGGCCUUCGUGUCGGCAUGUGUAGGAUAGGUGGUAGGCUUUGAAGCGGGGGCGUCAGCCUUCGUGGAGCCAUCCUUGAAAUACCACCCUUGGCGAUAUGGUGGUCUAACCGCGACCCUUGAUCGGGG